rnacentral:rRNA from 1 species
CCAGACUCCUACGGGAGGCAGCAGUAAGGGAUGUUGGUCAAUGGGGGAAACCCUGAACCAGCAACGCCGCGUGAGGGAAGACGGUUUUCGGAUUGUAAACCUCUGUCCUCUGUGAAGAUGAUGACGGUAGCAGAGGAGGAAGCUCCGGCUGACUACGUGCCAGCAGCCGCGGUAAUACGUAGGGAGCGAGCGUUAUCCGGAUUUAUUGGGUUUAAAGGGUGCGUAGGCGGUAUUUUAAGUUAGUGGUAAAACGUCGGGGCUUCACCUUGAUUGGCCAUUAAAACUGGAGUACUAGAGUACAGACGAGGUAGGCGGAAUAAGUUAAGUAGCGGUGAAAUGCUUAGAUAUAACUUAGAACCCCGAUAGCGAAGGCAGCUUACCAGACUGUUACUGACGCUGAAGCACGAGAGCGUGGGUAGCGAACAGGAUUAGAUACCCUAGUA